GAGGGUAUAGCUCAGUGGUAGAGCACGUGCUCAGCAUGCACGAGGGCCUGGGUUCAAUCGCCAGUACCUCCA
rfam:Camelus ferus unplaced genomic scaffold scaffold715, whole genome shotgun sequence.